UUCUUAUGAAGUCAGAUUGCCUUUCUCC
rnacentral:piRNA from 1 species